UACGAAGGGAGCUAGCGUUGUUCGGAAUCACUGGGCGUAAAGCGCACGUAGGCGGAUGUGUCAGUCAGGGGUGAAAUCCUGGAGCUCAACUCCAGAACUGCCUUUGAUACUGGCGAUCUUGAGUCCGGGAGAGGUGAGUGGAACUGCGAGUGUAGAGGUGAAAUUCGUAGAUAUUCGCAAGAACACCAGUGGCGAAGGCGGCUCACUGGCCCGGUACUGACGCUGAGGUGCGAAAGCGUGGGGAGCAAACAGG
rnacentral:rRNA from 1 species